GCCGCUCUGCCUAUCCGUGCCACUCUAUGAUCAUCGCACCGGCUGCGCACGCGCGCGGAAGAGCAUUCGCCGUCAACUGCCCGCUGUGGUCUGCGGGAGGAUGACGGUUUUGUACGAAGCCAGAGAGUCCAGAAGACCCAAGCAGCUCUCGAACUCUCUUCCCCGCGCCCUGGCGUUGGGCCUGAGUGGCCGGGUCGGGUAGUGUGGUCGGAGGAUCGGCCCUGGGCCCACCAUUCUUCUUUCCCACUGCUUUGUGAAAAAGAAACGCCUUAUGGCACUGCCCUGCACUAGGCUUGCCCGGGGGCGAUUGGCGUAACAAGAUACUGCUGGAGAAACCAGAACCGUCAGAAUGCCCUUUCUAGAAGUACAAGGAAAAACAGUGGUACUAUAACGUGAUCCUCCUGCGACCCAAAAAGUGCUAGGGUGUUGAGAGACUGCAUACACCCAGGCGGGAAUUGAGAGGCAUUUCCAACAAGCUGAGUAUGAACCCUGGUUGCGGAUUGAAGCUGCAAGAGCAUGUUGCAGGCGCGGGAGUGGAAGAUAUGUACCUGAGUGUCUUCGCCUUUGUGUAUAUGUACCAUGUGCGGUGCCUGAGGAAGCCAGACGAGGACACUGGAUAUUCAGGAACAGGAGUUACAGAUGUUCCUGAGCUUCCAUGUGGGUGUUGAAAACCAAAUCCUGGUCCUCAGAAGGAGCAGGUGAGUGUUGUGAGCCGUCUCUCUGGCCUGAUUCAUUCUUCUGUGUCUAUGGCUGGAUUUCACUGACUGAUGUUUCCUUCAGAUCUUACGUUCAUGAAAGAAACUGGUCUGUAAUUUUACUUUCUUGUAAAGACAUUGUCAAAUUGGGUAUUAAGGUUAAGUUACCUUCAUAAAAUGACACAAAGCUAAGAAUGUAGCUCAGUGACACCGUGCUUGCCUAGCAUAUGUAAGGCCCUGGGUCUGAUCCUCAGCCACAAAAAAAGCAUGGGGCAAAGGAGGGAAAGAGGAAGGAGAAGGAGAAGGAGGAGAAGGACGAGGAGAAGGAGGAGGAGAAGAGAGGAAAACGAAGGAGCAGCAGCAGCAUUGCUUGGCAUGAUGAUGCAUACGUGUAAUCUCAGUACUCAGGAGGCUGAGGUGGGAUGAUCGGACAUUAAGGCUGUCCUGGACUGUAUAGCAAGACUCUGUCUAAAAUGAACAAAUAAGGGGCUGGAGAGAGAGCUAGGAAGUUAAGAGCCCUUGCUACUCUCCCAGAGGACUGAAGUCGGGUGGCUCACAUCCACAUGUAGACACAUACACCUAUGCAUAAUUAAAAAUAACAAUAAAGAUAAAUCUUUAAAAAAUAAAA